rnacentral:rRNA from 1 species
GCCAGACUCCUACGGGAGGCAGCAGUGGGGAAUAUUGCACAAUGGGGGAAACCCUGAUGCAGCGACGCCGCGUGAGUGAAGAAGUAUUUCGGUAUGUAAAGCUCUAUCAGCAGGGAAGAAAUACUGACCUUACGGUCAGCAGACGGUACCUGACUAAGAAGCCCCGGCUAACUACGUGCCAGCAGCCGCGGUAAUACGUAGGGGGCAAGCGUUAUCCGGAUUUACUGGGUGUAAAGGGAGCGUAGACGGCAGCGCAAGUCUGAAGUGAAAUCCCAUGGCUUAACCAUGGAACUGCUUUGGAAACUGUAUAGCUUGAGUGCAGGAGAGGUAAGCGGAAUUCCUAGUGUAGCGGUGAAAUGCGUAGAUAUUAGGAGGAACACCAGUGGCGAAGGCGGCUUACUGGACUGUAACUGACGUUGAGGCUCGAAAGCGUGGGGAGCAAACAGGAUUAGAUACCCGGGUA